rnacentral:rRNA from 1 species
AGAUUGAACGCUGGCGGCAGGCCUAACACAUGCAAGUCGAGCGGUAGAGAGGUGCUUGCAUCUCUUGAGAGCGGCGGACGGGUGAGUAAUGCCUAGGAAUCUGCCUAGUGGUGGGGGAUAACGUUCGGAAACGGACGCUAAUACCGCAUACGUCCUACGGGGAAGAACGGGCCGGGGUACCGUCCGGCCGU